rnacentral:sRNA from 1 species
AUCCUAUCUAUCUGUCAUCAAUCAAUCGUCCCCAUAACUAUUUCCCCCUUUGUGGCAUCUGCAUGUUCCUUCUCCCCCCUCUUCCCGAUGCGUCGUACAAUCUAUCUAUCUAUCUAUAAGUGGUUCUCCACUCUCCAACUGUCCAAUGGCCAGGUUCCGUUUUAUAUUCGCGGGCUGUGAGCCGCCGUUAUCGGAUAAUAAAUACCAGAGUAGUUAAUAAUAAUAACGACAAUAAUAAGAAUAGUUCCCCACCGUGUAACUACGGCAAGCCACCUGCAACGAAGAGGGAGCUGUUCCCCCCCA